AACGCGAAGAACCUUACCUGGCCUUGACAUGUCUGGAAUUCUGCAGAGAUGCGGAAGUGCCUUCGGGAACCAGAACACAGGUGCUGCAUGGCUGUCGUCAGCUCGUGUCGUGAGAUGUUGGGUUAAGUCCCGCAACGAGCGCAACCCUUGUCCUUAGUUGCCAACACGUUAUGGUGGGAACUCUAAGGAAACUGCCGGUGAUAAGCCGGAGGAAGGUGGGGAUGACGUCAAGUCUUCAUGGCCCUUACGGCCUGGGCUACACACGUGCUACAAUGGCGGUGACAAUGGGAAGCUAACCCGCAAGGGCAUGCUAAUCUCAAAAAACCGUCUCAGUUCGGAUUGCACUCUGCAACUCGAGUGCAUGAAGCUGGAAUCGCUAGUAAUCGUAGAUCAGCAUGCUACGGUGAAUACGUUCCCGGGCCUUGUACACACCGCGCAUA
rnacentral:rRNA from 1 species